UCCUCAGUAGCUCAGCGGUAGAGCGGUCGGCUGUUAACCGAUUGGUCGCUGGUUCGAAUCCAGCCUGGGGAG
rnacentral:tRNA from 37 species